ensembl:snRNA U6 U6 spliceosomal RNA
GUGCUUGCUUCGGAGCACAUACACUAAAAUUGGAACGCUACAGAGAAGAUUAGCAUGGCCCCCGCAGGAGGAUGACAUGCAAAUCUGUGAAGCAUUCCAUUUUUUU